rnacentral:tRNA from 2 species
GCGGGGUUAGUUCAAUGGCAGAACACCUGCUUCCCAAGCAGGCAACGCGGGUUCGAUUCCCGUACCCCGCUCCA